GAUGAAGAACGUAGUGAAAUGCGAUAAGUAAUGUGAAUUGCAGAAUUCAGUGAAUCAUCGAAUCUUUGAACGCACCUUGCACCCUUUGGCAUUCCGAAGGGUAUGCUCGUUUGAGUGUCAUUGUACUCUCACACUUCCAAUCUUUGGAUUGGGGGCGGUGGACUUGGGUGUUGCUGCUUACUGUGGCUCACCUCAAAUUGAUUCGUGCACCUCUUGGUUGGACAUAGUACGGCGUGAUAAGUGUCUUCGCCGGCACCUCAGUAGAGGGUGGCUGAUCGGGAGCUCUGUGCUUCAAACCGUCAUCGGACAACAACUGACAACUUGACCUCAAAUCGAGUAGGACUACCCGCUGAACUUAAGCAUAUCAAUAAGCGGAGGA
rnacentral:misc_RNA from 1 species